UAUAUUCAUCAAAAAAAUUAAUCAUUAAGUUAUGUUACAGUAUUCCCCGUAUAUUAUGGUUCGUCCCGGUUUGUAUUGCUUUGUAUAAUCUUUAGUUGAACGCUAAAUAAAAUUAGAGGCUAGCUAAGAGAAUUUGGCUAGAUCUUUACAAGAUUAGUGAAUGUGAUUUUUUAAAGAAAUUGUGCCUGUUGCACAUCGAUAUUAUUCGCCUUGAUUCUUAAAGGUGGCUUGGCUAAACUUUCAACGGCAACUUUUGAAGUUUUCGUGGGCACUGAUUUGCAGAGUGCUCGUGACCAACAGAUAAAAUGGCCCAAUCCAUAUUGCAAAUUUGCAAGCUGUCUUCCAAAACAAUCCAAAACCAAGGAAUUUCUAUUUGCAAGUAAACUAUGGCGUCGUGCUGCUGCUGUGUGUUGUAUCGUUGAUGGCUGGGUCGACCACUGGUGUACCGAUGUCUUCUUGGUAGGGCGGGUACCAAACCGCAACACCGCCGCCUUACUACCCAAAAGCAACUUACGCAACGACCAGUUCCUGCACCGAGGUCUACAAGUACUACACUACUAAGGCACCGGAGUUUUAUACCAUAACUUACGCUGACCCGAGCCACUAUACUGACGCCCUGAAAUAUUACUCUGCCCUGAGUUACUACACCACCAAGGCGACGGAGCAGGACUACGCAUGCUGCCCCAUCCUACUACACCGAGGCUCCCAGGUGCUACACCGAUGCUCCCGCUGAUUAGUCCACCCAAACGGUCGAAUACUACACCGAAGCGGCGAAAUACUUCUCUGCCCCGAUCUACACAACCACAGCUGAGGUGGCUAAAUAUUACGCAGUCCCGACUUGCUACAUAAAAGCUGCCCUUUCGUGCUACGUUGAACAGAAAUACUACACUGAUGCUCCAGUCUACUACACCACGACCUACGCUACAACCCCGACCCCCCAACUACACCGAAGAAGCCGCCUAUUACACAACUACGUACGCUGCCUAGUUUACUGCAUCGAGGAAUUUAAGUAUUACCCCGGUCCAAACUACUACCAAACUGAGGUUCAUAUUUAUUGCAAUUUUCACGACUAUGUCACCACUCAACUAUACUUACGCUGCUCCCACCUAAUAUACACUGAAGUUCUGAAGUAUUUCUCUGGAUGUGUUGAAAGAUUGCUGAAAUACAAAAUUGAUUGAUAAAUCACAA